ensembl:lncRNA
CACUGUUGCUAUUUACUACCUCUGCUUGUCAAGAGAGAAGUUGUCAAUAAAGCUGUAGCUAUGUUGUUAACUGUAUGCUAAAGCACGCUGAAUAAAAGUUCACGUUAAUUCCAAUAGGUUAUGGGCCCAGAUCGACGCUAAACACAGAGUUUUUUGUGGAAGAUAAACAGUUUUUUGGGAUUACACAAUGGAUGAUAAACUCUUGACCAGCUGAGCGGACCAGAGAAUUGGGCGACAUGGAAGUUUCAGAUGGAACAUCUGCUAAAAGCUAUAUAGUAUGCUAAUGGAGACGGAUACGCUAGCAGCAGCACUAAACGGAAAGAGAGGGCAUUCUCUAUGUUAGUUCAGAACGCCUAAGUCUUGUCCGUUUGGCCGACCGUCAAGACGGAGCAGGCGAAUCCGGUGCCCGAAACCGCACAUUUCUUAAACCACCCUCGGAGGUGGUUUCAAAUCUGUCCGGACCUAUGCGGUUUCGUUUUAGGAUUCGUGUGGACGUCUGAUACGCUUGAUGGCAUUAGCCCCCCACCAGCUGGGGGACGUCAGAGUUGCGUUGAAUUUUUUGUAGCUUUAAAUAAAGCCCCUUGAUAAAUGUGAUUACUAACUGUACAUUAAAAAGUAUUUCUGCUCAAUUUAAAAGGUUGAAUCUCCUCGUGACUGAAUGUUUGUAUACAGCGCGCAGGCUUGAUGCGCUCCACUUUUUUCUGUGGAGAUCCAGCGCCUUGAAUAUUUACUACAGCGUUUCUACAGCUCGAUGCGGUUUCAAAAUGACUGUCUUUACGGAGAUAUCCGUGAACCGCAUAAAACGAAAUCGGAUUGUUUUCAACAACUAAUACUCUUCACUAGAAAUGUUGUGUGAAAUGAUUUUCAAGAAGUCUUGCGGUAUCAGCUUGGUAGAUGGAACAGCGAGGAGUCCGAUAGGCGGAGAUCUAGAUCAGUGGGAGUGGCCAGCAAAGCUGUGCAUCGUGGUGCAUGUUGUCUUCAAUCCACAAGCGCCAAAAAGUCACCUUCUGUCUUUUCUCGGUCAAGACGGCACCAAAUUAGAAUUAUAUUUCAUUAUUCGACUACAUAUAGGACCCAAUUUCAAUGCAUAUUCAUGCCUCCUCCGGCGAAAUGCUCCUUUAAGUAUAACAUUGCUUGGGGAGUCUAAUUCCUCCACUGAAAAGGGUAGAAAGUGCUUA